rnacentral:rRNA from 1 species
UGUCAGACAACGCGGCGCUUCUACCCAUGCAAUUGAACGAAAAGGCCCUGCUUUUGUGGGGUGCUCGAGUGGCGAACGGGUGAGUAACACGUGAGUAACCUGCCCUUGACUUUGGGAUAACUUCAGGAAACUGGGGCUAAUACCGGAUAGGAGCUCCUGCUGCAUGGUGGGGGUUGGAAAGUUUCGGCGGUUGGGGAUGGACUCGCGGCUUAUCAGCUUGUUGGUGGGGUAGUGGCUUACCAAGGCUUUGACGGGUAGCCGGCCUGAGAGGGUGACCGGCCACAUUGGGACUGAGAUACGGCCCAGACUCCUACGGGAGGCAGCAGUGGGGAAUAUUGCACAAUGGGCGGAAGCCUGAUGCAGCAACGCCGCGUGCGGGAUGACGGCCUUCGGGUUGUAAACCGCUUUCGCCUGUGACGAAGCGUGAGUGACGGUAAUGGGUAAAGAAGCACCGGCUAACUACGUGCCAGCAGCCGCGGUGAUACGUAGGGUGCGAGCGUUGUCCGGAUUUAUUGGGCGUAAAGGGCUCGUAGGUGGUUGAUCGCGUCGGAAGUGUAAUCUUGGGGCUUAACCCUGAGCGUGCUUUCGAUACGGGUUGACUUGAGGAAGGUAGGGGAGAAUGGAAUUCCUGGUGGAGCGGUGGAAUGCGCAGAUAUCAGGAGGAACACCAGUGGCGAAGGCGGUUCUCUGGGCCUUUCCUGACGCUGAGGAGCGAAAGCGUGGGGAGCGAACAGGCUUAGAUACCCUGGUAGUCCACGCUGUAAACGGUGGUACUA